UACGUAGGGUGCAAGCGGUGUCCGGAAUUAUUGGGCGUAAAGAGCUCGUAUGCGGCUUGUCGCGUCGGCUGUGAAAACCUGGGGCUCAACCCCGGGCCUGCAGCCGAUACGGGCAAGCUAGAGUUCGGUAGGGGAGACUGGAAUUCCUGGUGUAGCGGUGAAAUGCGCAGAUAUCAGGAGGAACACCGGUGGCGAAGGCGGGUCUCUGGGCCGAUACUGACGCUGAGGAGCGAAAGCGUGGGGAGCGAACAGG
rnacentral:rRNA from 1 species